AUAGCAACAGCAGCGUAGCUGAACAUCUUACGGAUGGCCCAGGGCUCCAAAGGCUCGUUUCCUAAGUGAGAGAGAGCCUGGCUGAAGCUGUAUUACCAUUCAUUCUCCAGCCUCCGAAGUCUCAAAGCAUCACUUCCACCAUACUCUAACUGUCAAGACAAACACAAAGGCCCAGAGAAGGGGUCUCACUAUGUUGUCUGGAGUGCUGUGGUGGAGUGGAGUGGCUAUUCACAGAGCCUGUUCUGCUGGGACACAGAAUCACUUGCUCCAUCUCAUACAUUGAUGAUGAUUAAUUUGUAUGUGUACCUUCCAAAAAAGAUGGUUGUGUUUGAAUGGAGGCCUUCUGGACAGGAAAAUAUGGAGAGUGCGUGCUUUGGAUUCAAGACUGGGAAUGAGGGGACCAGAAACCUAUUCUGUGGCUGUUUCUUGUUAGGACUUUCCUAAGCCUCUGGAAAAGACUAAUCUUUCCAAGUUCAUCUGAGGCUCCUCUUCUCCAUGACAACCUCAUCCAGGGAUUUCUUCCUGUCCUGGUGUUUUAUGACAUGUGGAAGGGGACUGUAGCAGGUGAUCUCCAAAGUCUCUGGAGACUUACUAAUGUGCAUCCUCAUCUCGCUUGUAAGGAUAAUAGCCUUCCUCCAAACCUCACACACUUUUGGAGGAGAUCACUUUUUUUAAAGUGCAUGGAAAUGUUUUGAAACAGUGAAAUCUAUAAUGAUAGGUUUCAUAAUUCUAACAUCCACACCAUAUGAAUCACAUCCUUCCUGAGAUAAUGAGCACACAAUUGCCUGGAUACCUGAAGGAAUGGAGACAGCGGCAGAAAACACUGCAGAGAGGUGGAAACAUCCGUUAAUAUUUUAAAAUCCCAUUACUGCUACCAACAAUAAUAAUGGAUGCAUAGAAAUAGAUCUGGAUUAGCUGAGCUUGAAACAGUCCAUCUCACACACACACAAAAGAAUUUCAGAUACAGUGAACCCACAUGUUGAAGCUUUCUAGUAUAAUAAAAAUUUCAACUGUUCUGUUGAAUCAUCUGCCUGAUUGGAGGCUACAGAAAAGAUGUCAUCUUAGGAGUGCUUGCUCUGAGUGAGGCUCAUCUUCAAAUCUGAAUGACCACAAGGAGAUUUGAUUAUACAUGUGAACACCUCAGAAGGCACAGCCCACCCAGAAGGCAGACAGGUCAGGCUGCUUUUUCUUCAUUGCUUGGAUUCAAUCCUCCGGGCGGCUCAGGCUCAAACAUAACUUAAGCAUGAUUAAACUUUAGAAGAAGCUGCCAGGAAGACUGUGAAAUCUUCAUGCCCAAGGAUCCCUAAAAUUAGGAGCAACAACCACUUGGCUCAGACGGUUUAUGGAGGCAAAGGUUUGGAUGGGAUUAGAGAUUUCUAAAUGUGAGUUCGUGUCCUCUGCCAGACCACCUUACUUCCACCAUUCCUCAGCAAAUCAAGAAAAACAGGAGAAAAGACAUGCCUUUCCAUAAGUUAAAUCUAUUCUGUUUUAAUUCUAUAUUAUAUCUGCUGUACAACUUCUUUUGUUUGUAACACCAUAUUGUUGCUAGUAACUGGAAAUUAAUUUUCACAUGCCUCAGCUUAGAAAAAUAAAAAGCAGCCCUGCA
ensembl:lncRNA LINC00635 long intergenic non-protein coding RNA 635